GCUGGCCUGGCGGGACUGGCGCCGCCCGGCGUUGCUGCCGGUGGCCGGUUUCGCGGCCGCCCUCGGCGUGCUGGUCGCCGCGCCGGCC
rnacentral:tRNA from 1 species